UACGUAGGGUGCAAGCGUUAAUCGGAAUUACUGGGCGUAAAGCGUGCGCAGGCGGUUUUGUAAGUCUGACGUGAAAUCCCCCGGGCUCAACCUGGGAAUUGCGAUGGAGACUGCAAGGCUAGAAUCUGGCAGAGGGGGGUAGAAUUCCACGUGUAGCAGUGAAAUGCGUAGAGAUGUGGAGGAACACCGAUGGCGAAGGCAGCCCCCUGGGUCAAGAUUGACGCUCAUGCACGAAAGCGUGGGGAGCAAACAGG
rnacentral:rRNA from 1 species